rnacentral:rRNA from 1 species
GAUGAACGCUGGCGGCGUGCUUAACACAUGCAAGUCGAACGAAGCACUUUAUUUGAUUUCCUUCGGGAUUGAUUAUUUUGUGACUGAGUGGCGGACGGGUGAGUAACGCGUGGGUAACCUGCCUUGUACAGGGGGAUAACAGUUGGAAACGGCUGCUAAUACCGCAUAAGCGCACGGCAUCGCAUGACGCAGUGUGAAAAACUCCGGUGGUAUAAGAUGGACCCGCGUUGGAUUAGCUAGUUGGUGAGGUAACGGCCCACCAAGGCGACGAUCCAUAGCCGACCUGAGAGGGUGACCGGCCACAUUGGGACUGAGACACGGCCCAAACUCCUACGGGAGGCAGCAGUGGGGAAUAUUGCACAAUGGGCGAAAGCCUGAUGCAGCGACGCCGCGUGAGCGAAGAAGUAUUUCGGUAUGUAAAGCUCUAUCAGCAGGGAAGAUAAUGACGGUACCUGACUAAGAAGCACCGGCUAAAUACGUG